UGGGGAAUAUUGCACAAUGGAGGGAACUCUGAUGCAGCGACGCCGCGUGAGUGAUGAAGGAAUUCGUUUCGUAAAACUCUGUUCUAUGGGAAGAAAAGGACUGUACCAUAGGAGAAAGCUCCGGCUAAAUACGUGCCAGCAGCCGCGGUAAUACGUAUGGAGCGAGCGUUGUCCGGAAUUAUUGGGCGUAAAGGGUGCGCAGGCGGCUUUACAAGUUGGAUGUGAAAUAUUGUGGCUCAACCACAAACGUGCAUCCAAAACUGCAAAGCUUGAGUUAAGGAGAGGUAAGUGGAGUUCCUGGUGUAGCGGUGGAAUGCGUAGAUAUCAGGAGGAAUACCGGUGGCGAAGGCGACUUACUGGACUUAAACUGACGCUCAGGCACGAAAGCGUGGGGAGCAAACAGG
rnacentral:rRNA from 1 species